CUACGCACUCCUACGGGAGGCAGCAGUGGGGAAUAUUGCACAAUGGGCGCAAGCCUGAUGCAGCCAUGCCGCGUGUAUGAAGAAGGCCUUCGGGUUGUAAAGUACUUUCAGCAGUGAGGAAGGUGGGUAUGUUAAUAGCAUAUUCAUUUGACGUUAGCUGCAGAAGAAGCACCGGCUAACUCCGUGCCAGCAGCCGCGGUAAUACGGAGGGUGCGAGCGUUAAUCGGAAUUACUGGGCGUAAAGCGCAUGCAGGUGGUUUGUUAAGUCAGAUGUGAAAGCCCGGGGCUCAACCUCGGAAUUGCAUUUGAAACUGGCAAACUAGAGUACUGUAGAGGGGGUAGAAUUUCAGGUGUAGCGGUGAAAAUGCGUAGAGAUCUGAAGGAAUACCGGUGGCGAAGGCGGCCCCCUGGACAGAUACUGACACUCAGAUGCGAAAGCGUGGGGAGCAAACAGGAUUAGAUACCCUGGUAG
rnacentral:rRNA from 1 species